UACGGAGGGUGCGAGCGUUGUCCGGAAUCACUGGGCGUAAAGGGCGCGUAGGCGGCGCGGGGAGUCAACGGUGAAAGCUCGGCGCUCAACGCCGAGUCGGCCGUCGAUACUCCCGUGCUCGAGCACUGUAGAGGCAGGUGGAAUUCCGGGUGUAGGCGGUGGAAUGGCGUAGAGAGUCCGGAAGAACACCGGUGGCGAAGG
rnacentral:rRNA from 1 species